GCCUGGCUGGCUCAGUCGGUAGAGCAUGCGACUUUUAUCUUGGGGUUGUGAGUUCAAACCCCAUGUUAAGCA
rnacentral:tRNA from 1 species